CGCGUAGGUAAUCUACCCCAAAGUCUGGAAUAACCGGCCGAAAGGCUGGCUAAUACUGGAUAGAGCGACGGAAUCCGUAAUUGGGUUUUCGGGAAAGGGAGGGAGCAAUCCCCCUCGCUUUAGGAUGAGCCUGCGUCCCAUCAGCUAGUUGGUAAGGUAAUGGCUUACCAAGGCUUUGACGGGUAGCUGGUCUGAGAGGAUGAUCAGCCACACUGGAACUGAAACACGGUCCAG
rnacentral:rRNA from 1 species